UGGAGGAACAACCCCAGUGGCGGCGCCAGCUCUCCAGCCCUGGAGUCAGCCUCCACAGUGACUAGGGAGCUCUUGGUCUGCAGGGCCUGGAGGCUCCGGGGCGGG
rnacentral:pre_miRNA from 1 species